GGGCCCGUGGUCUAGCUCGGUAUGACGUUUCCUUGACGUGGAAAAGAUCACCGGUUCGAAUCCGGUCGGGCCCA
rnacentral:tRNA from 3 species